CCUACGGGAGACAGCAGUAGGGAAUAUUGCUCAAUGGGGGAAACCCUGAAGCAGCAACGCCGCGUGGAGGAUGAAGGUUUUCGGAUUGUAAACUCCUUUUGUUAGAGAAGAUAAUGACGGUAUCUAACGAAUAACACCCGCUAACCCCGUGCCAGCAGCCGCCGGUAUACGGUGGGUGAAAGCGUUACUCGGAAUCACUGGGCGUAAAGGGCGCGUAGGUGGGAUAGCAAGUUCGAUGUGAAAUCCUAUGGCUUAACCAUAGAACUGCAUUUGAAACUGUUAUUCUAGAGUAUGGGAGAGGUAGGUGGAAUUCUUGGUGUAGGGGUAAAAUCCAUAGAGAUCAAGAGGAAUACUCAUUGCGAAGGCGACCUGCUAGAACAUAACUGACGCUGAUGCGCGAAAGCGUGGGGAGCAAACAGGAUUAGAUACCCGUGUAGUC
rnacentral:rRNA from 1 species